GUUGUAUAGUCAAGUAAUUAAGUGCAUGUGGUGGAUGCCUUGGCAGUCAGAGGCGAUGAAAGACGUGAUAGCCUGCGAAAAGCUCCGGGGAGGCGGCAAAUAUCCUUUGAUCCGGAGAUGUCUGAAUGGGGGAACCCACCUACUUUAAGGUAGGUAUUGCAACAUGAAUACAUAGUGUUGCAAGGCGAACGAGGGGAAGUGAAACAUCUCAGUACCCUUAGGAAAAGAAAUCAAUUGAGAUUCCCUCAGUAGCGGCGAGCGAACGGGGAUCAGCCCAUUAAGUUAUGUGUGUUUUAGUGGAACGCUCUGGGAAGUGCGAACGUAGAGGGUGAUAUUCCCGUACACGAAAGGGCACACAUAAUGAUGACGAGUAGGGCGAGGCACGUGAAACCUUGUCUGAAUAUGGGGGGGACCAUCCUCCAAGGCUAAAUACUCCUGACUGACCGAUAGUGAACCAGUACCGUGAGGGAAAGGCGAAAAGAACCCCUGUGAGGGGAGUGAAAUAGAUCCUGAAACCGCAUGCAUACAAGCAGUGGGAGCACCUUCGUGGUGUGACUGCGUACCUUUUGUAUAAUGGGUCAGCGACUUAUAUUCAGUAGCGAGGUUAACCGUAUAGGGGAGCCGUAGAGAAAUCGAGUCUUAAUAGGGCGUUUAGUUGCUGGGUAUAGACCCGAAACCAGGCGAUCUAUCCAUGAGCAGGUUGAAGGUUGGGUAACACUAACUGGAGGACCGAACCCACUGUCGUUGAAAAGCCAGGGGAUGACUUGUGGAUAGGGGUGAAAGGCUAAUCAAGCCUGGUGAUAGCUGGUUCUCCCCGAAAGCUAUUUAGGUAGCGCCUCGGACGAAUACCAUAGGGGGGUAGAGCACUGUUUCGGCUAGGGGGUCAUCCCGACUUACCAAACCGAUGCAAACUCCGAAUACCUAUGAGUACUAUCCGGGAGACAGACUGCGGGUGCUAACGUCCGUAGUCAAGAGGAAAACAAUCCAGACCGCCAGCUAAGGCCCCAAAAUCAUAGUUAAGUGGGAAACGAUGUGGGAAGGCAUAGACAGCUAGGAGGUUGGCUUAGAAGCAGCCACCCUUUAAAGAAAGCGUAAUAGCUCACUAGUCGAGUCGGCCUGCGCGGAAGAUGUAACGGGGCUAAAACUAUGUGCCGAAGCUGCGGAUGUAUACUUUGUAUACGUGGUAGGGGAGCGUUCUGUAAGCCGAUGAAGGUGUGUUGAGAAGCAUGCUGGAGGUAUCAGAAGUGCGAAUGCUGACGUGAGUAACGACAAAACGGGUGAAAAACCCGUUCGCCGAAAGACCAAGGGUUCCAGUCCAACGUUAAUCGGGGCUGGGUGAGUCGACCCCUAAGGCGAGGCCGAAAGGCGUAGUCGAUGGGAAAAUGGUUAAUAUUCCAUUACUUCUGUGUAAUGCGAUGAGAGGACGGAGAAGGCUAAAUCAGCCUGGCGUUGGUUGUCCAGGUGAAAGGAUGUAGGCAUGUAUCUUAGGCAAAUCCGGGGUACUCUAUGCUGAGAUCUGAUAGCAAGCUGUACUUGUACAGCGAAGUGGUUGAUGCCAUGCUUCCAGGAAAAGUCUCUAAGCUUCAGUUACACAGGAAUCGUACCCGAAACCGACACAGGUGGUCAGGUCGAGUAGACCAAGGCGCUUGAGAGAACUCUGCUGAAGGAACUAGGCAAAAUGGUACCGUAACUUCGGGAGAAGGUACGCUGUUGUUGGUGAUGGAACUCGCUUCCUGAGCUGACGACAGCCGCAGAAACCAGGCCGCUGCAACUGUUUAUUAAAAACAUAGCACUCUGCAAACACGAAAGUGGACGUAUAGGGUGUGAUGCCUGCCCGGUGCUGGAAGGUUAAUUGAUGGGGUUAGCGUAAGCGAAGCUCUUGAUCGAAGCCCCAGUAAACGGCGGCCGUAACUAUAACGGUCCUAAGGUAGCGAAAUUCCUUGUCGGGUAAGUUCCGACCUGCACGAAUGGCAUAAUGAUGGCGGCGCUGUCUCCAGCAGAGGCUCAGUGAAAUCGAAAUCGCUGUGAAGAUGCAGUGUACCCGCGGCUAGACGGAAAGACCCCGUGAACCUUUACUGCAGCUUGACACUGAACUUUGACCUUACUUGUGUAGGAUAGGUGGGAGGCUUUGAAGCUGGAACGCUAGUUCCAGUGGAGCCGUCCUUGAAAUACCACCCUGGUAAUGUUGAGGUUCUAACUCUGUCCCGUGAUCCGGGACGAGGACCGUGUCUGGUGGGUAGUUUGACUGGGGCGGUCUCCUCCUAAAGAGUAACGGAGGAGUACGAAGGUGCGCUCAGCGUGGUCGGAAAUCACGCGUAGAGUAUAAAGGCAAAAGCGCGCUUAACUGCGAGACCCACAAGUCGAGCAGGUACGAAAGUAGGUCUUAGUGAUCCGGUGGUUCUGUAUGGAAGGGCCAUCGCUCAACGGAUAAAAGGUACUCUGGGGAUAACAGGCUGAUACCGCCCAAGAGUUCAUAUCGACGGCGGUGUUUGGCACCUCGAUGUCGGCUCAUCUCAUCCUGGGGCUGAAGCAGGUCCCAAGGGUAUGGCUGUUCGCCAUUUAAAGAGGUACGCGAGCUGGGUUUAGAACGUCGUGAGACAGUUCGGUCCCUAUCUACCGUGGGCGCUGGAAAUUUGAGAGGAUCUGCUCCUAGUACGAGAGGACCAGAGUGGACGAACCUCUGGUGUACCGGUUGUGACGCCAGUCGCAUCGCCGGGUAGCUAUGUUCGGAAGGGAUAACCGCUGAAAGCAUCUAAGCGGGAAGCCUACCUCAAGAUAAGAUUUCCCUAGGACUUUAUGUCCUCUAAAGAGCCGUUCGAGACUAGGACGUUGAUAGGUUGGAUGUGGAAGCAUAGUGAUAUGUGAAGCUGACCAAUACUAAUUGCUCGUGAGGCUUGACUAUACAACACCCAAGCAGUUG
rnacentral:rRNA from 1 species